rnacentral:rRNA from 1 species
AGAGUUUGAUCCUGGCUCAGAUUGAACACUGGUGGCAGGCCUAACACAUGCAAGUCGAGCGGCAUCGAGUGAGCGCAGUUUACUGAGUUCAUGUCGGCGAGCGGCGGACGGGUGAGUAAAGUCUGGGAAUCUGGCCGAAGGAGGGGGAUAACUGCUGGAAACGGCAGCUAAUACCGCAUGAAGUCGCGAGACCAAAGUGGGGGACCUUCGGGCCUCACGCCUUCGGAUGAGCCCAGAUGAGAUUAGCUGGUAGGUAAGGUAAGGGCUUACCUAGGCGACGAUCUCUAGCGGGUCUGAGAGGAUAGCCCGCCACACUGGAACUGAGACACGGUCCAGACUCCUACGGGAGGCAGCAGUGGGGAAUAUUGCACAAUGGGCGAAAGCCUGAUGCAGCCAUGCCACGUGUGUGAAGAAGGCCUUCGGGUUGUAAAGCACUUUCAGCGAGGAGGAAGCGAUAAAUGCGAAUACCAUUUAUUUUUGACGUUACUCGCAGAAGAAGCACCGGCUAACUCCGUGCCAGCAGCCGCGGUAAUACGGAGGGUGCGAGCGUUAAUCGGAAUAACUGGGCGUAAAGGGCAUGUAGGCGGUGAGUUAAGUCAGAUGUGAAAUCCCCGAGCUCAACUUGGGAAUGGCAUUUGAAACUGGGUCGCUAGAGUUUUCUAGAGGGGGGUAGAAUUCCAGGUGUAGCGGUGAAAUGCGUAGAUAUCUGGAGGAAUACCGGUGGCGAAGGCGGCCCCCUGGAGAAAGACUGACGCUGAGGUGCGAAAGCG